GACGAACGCUGGCGGCAUGCCUAAUACAUGCAAGUUGAACGAUGAUAUUCUCUGCUUGCAGUGUUUUGAAGAGUAGCGGACGGAUGAGUAACACGUGGGGCACCUUCUCCUGUUUCGUGGAUAACAUUCGGAAACGGCUGCUACUACCGCAUCAUGCUUUGGACCGCUUGGUCCAGAGACGCUAGACGCCUUUUGCUGUCACUCAUGCCUGUCCCCGCUCCGGAUUAGCUAGUUGGUGGGGCAAUGGCUCACCAAAGCUGUGAUACGUAGCCGACCUGAGAGGGUGAUCAGCCACACUGGGACUGAGACACGGCCCAGACUCCUACGGGAGGCAGCAGUAGGGAAUAUUGGACAAUGGGCGAAAGCCUGAUGGAGCAAUGCCGCGUGAAUGAAGAAGGUCUUCGGAUCGUAAAGUUCUGUUAUUAGAGAAGAACAAGUGAAGGUGUAACUGUCGCGAUUUUGACGGUACCUAAACAGAAAGCAACGGCUAACUACGUG
rnacentral:rRNA from 1 species